GCCCGGCUAGCUCAGUCGGUAGAGCAUGGACUCUUAAUCUCAGGGUCGUGGGUUCGAGCCCCAGUUGGGCG